GACGAACGCUGGCGGCGUGCCUAAUACAUGCAAGUUGAGCGAUGAAGAUUGGUGCUUGCACCAAUUUGAAGAGCAGCGAACGGGCGAGUAACGCGUGGGGAAUCUUCCUUUGAGCGGGGGACAACAUUUGGAAACGAAUGCUAAUACCGCAUAACAACUUUAAACAUAAGUUUUAAGUUUGAAAGAUGCAAUUGCAUCACUCAAAGAUGAUCCCGCGUUGUAUUAGCUAGUUGGUGAGGUAAAGGCUCACCAAGGCGAUGAUACAUAGCCGACCUGAGAGGGUGAUCGGCCACAUUGGGACUGAGACACGGCCCAAACUCCUACGGGAGGCAGCAGUAGGGAAUCUUCGGCAAUGGACGAAAGUCUGACCGAGCAACGCCGCGUGAGUGAAGAAGGUUUUCGGAUCGUAAAACUCUGUUGGUAGAGAAGAACGUUUGUGAGAGUGGAAAGCUCAUCAAGUGACGGUAACUACCCAGAAAGGGACGGCUAACUACGUG
rnacentral:rRNA from 1 species